GUGCUCGCUUCGGCAGCACAUAUACUAAAAUUGGAACAAUACAGAGAAGAUUAGCACAGCCCCUGCACAAGGAUGACACACAAAUUCAUGAAGUGUUCCAUAUUUUU
ensembl:snRNA U6 U6 spliceosomal RNA